rnacentral:sRNA from 1 species
GAAAAUAGAAAAAGCAAUAUACAAACUACCUUGUGUUCAUUUUUGCCAACCCCAACGCCCGAUAACCUUCACACUCAAAAUCGUGGAUGUGUUAAAAAGGGGAGAGCUCUAUGGCUAUGCUUGCAUGAUCAGAGUAAAGCCAUUCUGCUGCGCAGUGUUCUCAGAAGCUCCCAAUUCAUGGAUAGUGGAGGACAAGUACGUCUGCAGCCUGACAACCGAGAAAUGGAUCUUCUACAGUUGUCUAAAGAUUUUGAAUGUCAGCUGAGUCUAUCUAGUGGGCCUCCCCUUAGCAGACCAGUGUACUCCAAGAAAGGCCUGGAACAUAAAAAGGAACUCCAGCAACUUUUAUUUUCAGGUAAUUAUGGUUUGUCUUCUCAACACCAGGAAGUUUCUAUAUUAGGAUAAAAGGAGAUUAAACUGUUGUAUUUGUUUUGUAAAAUCCUGAAAGUGCUCUGCAAACCCAUUUGUAAGACGUGAUGAUGUUACAAUCCUAUUGGUGAUAAGUGAUUUAGAAAUGAACACUCACUGACCCCACUGGCUAAGGCAGGACCACACGUAGAAUCCAGGAACAUUAUUUCC